AGAGUUUGAUCCUGGCUCAGGAUGAAUGCUGGCGGCGUGCCUAAUACAUGCAAGUCGAGCGGAAACACUUCGGGUGUCGAGCGGCGGACGGCUGAGUAACGCAUAGGAACGUACCCCAAAGUGAGGGAUAACUCCGAGAAAUCGGGGCUAAUACCGCAUAUGCUCUAAGGAGUAAAGCUUCGGCGCUUUGGGAACGGCCUAUGUCCGAUUAGCUAGUUGGUGAGGUAAAGGCUUACCAAGGCGACGAUCGGUAGCUGGUCUGAGAGGAUGAUCAGCCAGACUGGGACUGAGACACGGCCCAGACUCCUACGGGAGGCAGCAGUAGGGAAUUUUCCACAAUGGGGGCAACCCUGAUGGAGCAACGCCGCGUGCAGGAUGAAGGCCUUCGGGUCGUAAACUGCUUUUAUAUGUGAAGAUUUUGACGGUAACAUACGAAUAAGGUCC
rnacentral:rRNA from 1 species